rnacentral:rRNA from 1 species
UACAGAGGAUGCAAGCGUUAUCCGGAAUGACUGGGCGUAAAGCGUCUGUAGGUGGCUUUUUAAGUCCGCCGUCAAAUCCCAGGGCUCAACUCUGGACAGGCGGUGGAAACUACCAAGCUCGAGUACGGUAGGGGCAGAGGGAAUUUCCGGUGGAGCGGUGAAAUGCGUAGAGAUCGGAAGGAACGCCGGUGGCGAAAGCGACUGUCUGGGGUGCCUGUGACGCUGAGGCGCGAAAGCCAGGGGAUCAAACGGG